AGCGAACGCUGGCGGCAGGCCUGACACAUGCAAGUCGAACGAACCUUUCGGGGUUAGUGGCGGACGGGUGAGUAACACGUGGGAACGUGCCUUUAGGUUCGGAAUAACUCAGGGAAACUUGUGCUAAUACCGAAUGUGCCCUUCGGGGGAAAGAUUUAUCGCCUUUAGAGCGGCCCGCGUCUGAUUAGCUAGUUGGUUGAGGUAAUGGCUCACCAAGGCGACGAUCAGUAGCUGGUCUGAGAGGAUGAUCAGCCACAUUGGGACUGAGACACGGCCCAAACUCCUACGGGAGGCAGCAGUGGGGAAUCUUGCGCAAUGGGCGAAAGCCUGACGCAGCCAUGCCGCGUGAAUGAUGAAGGUCUUAGGAUUGUAAAAUUCUUUCACCGGGGACGAUAAUGACGGUACCCGGAGAAGAAGCCCCGGCUAACUUCGUG
rnacentral:rRNA from 1 species